rnacentral:lncRNA from 1 species
AUUGCCCUGUGUAUUUUGGGCAUUUAUCAGCACUCCUUGGCCUCUAGAUGCCUAGCACAUUUCCACCUCCUUCCUGUCAGUUGUGACGGCCAAUAAUUUCCAGAGACAUCAGGGUUCUCCCUUAAAGGAGAAAGCACUUUGGUUGGGAACUCUAGGUCCAGAGGGACAAGGGUUGGACCCUUUCCUUUGGAUGUGGGUGGGCUUUACUGUCAGUUUUUAUGUUGUUCUUCUAUGGCUUUUCACUUGUUUUAUCAGCAGGUUUAUAUUCAGUGCUUCUCUGUGCAGGAAAUGCUAGCACUUGAUUAUGAGGGACUUAGAUGAUAAUACCAAGUUUUGAAAUAUCAGGUGCAGCUGGCUGGCUUUGAAGUGGCUAUAUAGCUAUUAGCUCAGCUGUCCGUGCCUACUCAUCUUACCUCAGGCUGCUGUUAGUGACUGGCUGAGGUACUGACUGACAUGUAGGAAAGCAGUUCUGUGCAGAGACUAUCAAGUCAGCAAUGUGAAUCAUGGGUCAGGACUGGGUCUUGUGUGAAAAUUCAGUGCUAUGUAUGGCAGUUAGCCCUUCAGCUGCCCAUGAAGAAGUUUAACUUCUCGUCCUUGUGUAGAGGGAGAGGAAUCGAUCCUACGGAUAGAGAAUAAAAAGCCCCUCAUUGGUUUCCAUGUCAUCUUUUUCUAGUGUCCCCCUCCCAGUGGGCAUUCUCUCUCUGGAUUUUUCAGGGUUUUUUCCCCUUACUUUUCAAGAUUAUAAUGACAUUUCUUCCUUCCCUUCAAACUUCCCCUAUAACCCUCCCUGCUCCCUUUCAAAUUCAUGGCCUCUUUUUUUCAUUGUCAUUACAUAUAUGUGUAUGUGUUCUCAUCCUCCCUCUCUCCUAAAUACAACUUGCUUAGUUUAUAUAAUGUUGCUUAUAUGUAUAUUUUCAGGACUGGUCUGUCUAUCUAUCUAUCUAUCUAUCUAUCUAUCUAUCUAUCUAUCUCUCUCUCUAUCUGAGACAGGGUUUCUCUGUAACCUGGCUGUCCUGAAACUUACCCCGUAGACCAAGCUAGCCUUGAACUCAGAGGUUCACCUGCCUCUGCCUCCCAAGUACUGGGAUUGAAAGCAUGCACCUUCACCACUGGCUAGGUUAAACUUUUCUACCUGUGCACUUUUGCUAUAAAAUAGAAGUUUUGGAAUAACUUUGAAUUUUCUCCCACUGACUCUCUUUAAAUUUACUUUUCACUGGGUCAGAUACAGAAUGGUGCAUAGUAAAGUAGGCUGUGUUUUUGGGCAUCCUUGCAGGGAUGUGCUGGGAUCCCGGCACCAUGACUCUGACACGAGCCUGUGUUAUGUGUUAGUCCCUGCCCUGGGCUUCUAGCAGGCUUUGCUUCUAGUCCAGCUGAGCCUUUGCUGGAGUAAUUGCCCACAUGUUGUCUUCAAGCCAAACAAUCGUUUGUAUUGAGGUAGUACUGAGGUAGUCUUGCUGUUUGGCACUUCAUGAAAUAACCUCCUUCCUGCUCCCAGUGAAAGCAGCUAUUUUUUAUUUUCCCCUUCCCCUUUGCAGAGAAGCACGUCUCAGCCACCACUCUUCUAGCUUAUUCAUAAAUGCUUUAAUCAGGAUCUUUGUACAGAGGGAAUUAGCUAAAGUCAAACUAUCAAGGGCUAGCCAGGGGACACAAAACAUUAUAGACAUCUACUACUCUGACAUUCUAUGGGGCUUGUUUAAUUGUACCAUUCCUCUAUAAAAGUCAUUUUCGCAAAAAUAUUCCUACUAGUUUUCAUUUAUUUAGAUAUUUUUUACUAUUUUAUAUCAUUUUUAAAAAAUAUUUUUAAGGUGACAGCCUAUAGACAGAAUUCUCAAAAGAACUCUUAAAAAUUGUUGGGCUGGUGAGAUGGCUCAGUGGGUAAGAGCACCCGACUGCUCUUCCGAAGGUCCAGAGUUCAAAUCCCAGCAACCACAUGGUGGCUCACAACCAUCCCUAAUGAAAUCUGAUGCCCUCUUCUGGAGUGUCUGAAGACAGCUACAGUGUACUUACAUAUAAUCAAUAAAUAAAUCUUU